UACGGGGGGAGCAAGCGUUGUUCGGAUUUACUGGGCGUAAAGGGCGCGUAGGCGGCGUGACAAGUCACUUGUGAAAUCUCCGGGCUUAACUCGGAGCGGUCAAGUGAUACUGUCGUGCUAGAGUGCGGAAGGGGCUACUGGAAUUCCCGGUGUAGUGGUGAAAUGCGUAGAUAUCGAGAGGAACACCUGCGGCGAAGGCGGGUUGCUGGGCUGAUACUGACGCUGAGGCGCGAAAGCCAGGGGAGCGAACGGG
rnacentral:rRNA from 1 species